rnacentral:rRNA from 1 species
UACGUAGGGUCCGAGCGUUGUCCGGAAUUACUGGGCGUAAAGAGCUCGUAGGUGGUUUGUCGCGUUGUUCGUGAAAACUCACAGCUCAACUGUGGGCGUGCGGGCGAUACGGGCAGACUAGAGUACUGCAGGGGAGACUGGAAUUCCUGGUGUAGCGGUGGAAUGCGCAGAUAUCGGGAGGAACACCGGUGGCGAAGGCGGGUCUCUGGGCAGUAACUGACGCUGAGGAGCGAAAGCGUGGGGAGCGAACAGG